AGUAGCGGUGAAAUGCGUAGAUAUCUGGAGGAAUACCAAAGGCGAAGGCAGUCCCCUGGUCCGAUACUGACACUGAGGUACGAAAGCGUGGGGAGCAAACAGGAUUAGAUACCCUGGUAGUCCACGCCCUAAACGAUGUCGAUUAGCCAUUGGAAGGACCCCUUUUCCUUUCAGUGACGUAGCUAACGCGUUAAAUCGACCGCCUGGGAAGUACGACCGCAAGGUUAAAACUCAAAGGAAUUGACGGGGACCUGAACAAGCGGUGAAUGAUGUGGAUUAAUUCGAUGCUACGCGAAGAACCUUACCUACCUUUGACAUGGCCAAAGUUCUACCGAGAGGCGGAGUACUCGUAAGAGGAUUGGCGCACAGGUGCUGCAUGGUUGUCGUCAGUUCGUGUCGUGAGAUGUUGGGUUCAGUCCCGCAACGAACGCAACCCUUAUCUUUAAUUGCUCCUAUUUUAACAGGCACUUUAAAGAAACUGCCAAUGAUAAGUUGGAGGAAGGUGGGGAUCACGUCAAGUCCGCAUGGCCUUUAUAGGUAGGGCUUCACACGUCAUACAAUGGUUAGAACAAAGAGCUGCAAAUUCGUAAGAAGGAGCCAAUCUCACAAACCUAACCUCAGUUCGAAUUGCGGUCUGCAACUCGAGCGCAUGAAGCCGGAAUCGCUAGUAAUCGUGGAUCAGAAUGCCA
rnacentral:rRNA from 1 species